UACAGAGGGUGCAAGCGUUAAUCGGAAUUACUGGGCGUAAAGCGUGCGUAGACGGUUGCGUAAGUCAGAUGUGAAAGCCCCGGGCUCAACCUGGGAAUUGCAUUUGAGACUGCGUAGCUAGGGUGCGGAAGAGGGAAGCGGAAUUUCCGGUGUAGCGGUGAAAUGCGUAGAUAUGUGGCGGAACACCGAUGGCGAAGGCAGCCCCCUGGGCUGAGAUUGACGCUCAGGCACGAAAGCGUGGGGAGCAAACAGG
rnacentral:rRNA from 1 species